CGGAAGCAGAAAGAAACACCACAAUAAUGUGCUUGACUGCCAAAAGACAGAGAAGAUCUACCCCAAACAUAGACCAUUGCAAGUGCAGAAGUCACACGACGUGGUGAGAACUUGAUGUCUGCCUUUCACUCGCACGGACUGAAAUGUCUAGACAUCCAAAUUAAGGAGUGACCAAUCACCAACAGACCGAUCCCUCUGCGUACAAGGAAGAAUGAGACGCUGCAGACAACAGGCCUUAACAGUAAUGGCACCACUUCAAAGGACCUGACUUGCCUUCAACUACAACGUGACUUCUCAGGCAAUCAACACACCCUGUGAAGAGCACGUAGCUUAAUCACAUGUGAACUUACAUUUUACUUCUUCCUCUUUUCUUAAAAAGCGUUUAACAACUCACUAAAGUCCUAAUUGGCCUACUGGAAGUUUAAACUUCUGAUUUUGCCUGUCUACAGGAGAAAGCUUAUUCACAAAUAAAA